CCCUACCUUGGGGGACGGCGCGCGAUAGCGCGUCGGCCAACAACUAGUCUAAAUAAAAGUGGUAUCCCUUUAUUAUUCAAAUUUUGUGAACUCUGUAUAAUUGUAUAAAUGAUCUGACAAAAAAAAAACAAAAAAAAAUGAAUUCUUAAACUUGGUAUCAUCAAGUUCAUCGACAAGGGUUUGUUUUUCUUCAUCUUUCUCUCACUCGCCUCCUCCUCAAUUCCUCAUGUGUUUCUCUUCUCUCGCCUCAAUGUCCCGUGCAAUUCUGCAACUACAGCACCGCUAACAGGAAUUUCACUUGAAAAAUUCCUCGUUGAAAUGAAUUUCACAACUUGCCGCUUUCCCCUUUCUUCGCCCUCUCGCUGAAAUGAGUUAGGGUUCUUCUUUGAUUUCGCUUGAAGAAACCGACGAACAAAUUUUGCUCGUUAACGGAAUCUUACAAGUUGUUAGUAAAGAAAUAGUAGGUGUUGGAUAGUCCUUUAUGAAUCUUGAGGUAUGCACUCUUUCAAUUUGUGUAUUGUUUCUACAUAACUGUGAUCCAAGGAGUAUUAGAGUUGGGGUUGGUUGCCUCACUUGACAUUUGCUAUGACGGAAUGCAACAGGUUCUGUAAGUUUAGGCUCAGAACUUGGUUCUGUGUUAGGCUUCGAAUCUCCUACCCAUCAGGAAGGGCAACAUGCAUCGAAGUAGGGAAGUAUCAGUUUUAGUUUAGGGAUUCUGGAUAUUCCCCUAGUAGCUACUCAUAAUACUUUGCUUUGCAACUGACUUUUCUCAAUUCAGCUAUAGACAAGUCCUUAUUACCAUGGUUUCUUCAUUAAAGUUGUUGAUAUUUAAGAAUAGUUGAGUUUAGGAUCAAAAAAAUCUUAGUUUGGUUUUCUGAGCUAUAAUGUAGGGCCUUUAGAAUUUUGGGCAUGUUGCAGUAGGCGUACUGAAGAAGGAGCGACCAUCUAUCAUGGUGUUUUCUUUUCUUGUACGCUCUUUUCUCUGGUAUUCUUGGCAUGGGUGAUUGAUGUCUUGAUAGUUUUCCUGAUGUCCAAGCUUAUAGAGAUUCUUUAGUUCUUAUUGGAGGUUGUAUAAGGUAGAAAUUCAAGGUAUUAAACUAGUUUCCACUCUUGUUUUAAUUUAAGUUGUUCUAAUUAAUAUUUUUAUGUGAGAUUACUGAAUGUCGCUUUUGUGUUUAGAAGAAAAAUAUUUAUCAUGUUAUAGGAGUAACAACAUUAGAAACUUUGAGCUAAUUGUUGGGGAAUGUUUUCGUAGCGAAUAUAUUCGCUACUAAAGGCCAAAAUGAUUACCACGAAAACCCUUUUUUCUUGUAGUGGAGUAGGUCCAUCAUCUUGCAGUGGUCGCCGUAUCGCAAUGAGGUGGAUCUUAUGAAGCAGGUGAGCUUGUACAAACCGUAAUGAUUGUUUUCUCUAGUUUACCGGCAGUUUUAUGAUCAUGUUAUACAUUGUUCCCAUUUCCCAUUUGUAAUAAACAAGAAUAUAUAUAUAUAUAUAUAUAUAUAUGUAUAUAUAUAUUAUAGUGAUGUCAGUGGUAGUAGUAUGAAAGCUAGCUGGCAGACCUGUAGCUAGAGCCUACUACAAAAUAUUAGAGAUGUUCUCUGCCUACACUUACUUUAAGUUUGUGUUUUCCCGGCAUCUGAUAUCAAUCAGUUUUUGUAGGCGAAUACUCUUGGUCUCUAGACUAUAGAAUAUGUUCUUUCUCCAUAGAUAGAUACUCAGUGGUGGUUUAGUGAGGUAAUAUAUUGUGAUGCUAAGAUUUGCUUUCCCUUGUUUGUUAUUUCUUAAUUUGAUUCACUAUUAUAGUCUAUAGAAUUGCUGCUUUUGUAGGUUCGUUUCCUUCACGAUUAUGAUUCUGUGUGUGUAAUAUAGAAUGUUCCUGAUGGUGUUUUAUGACACGAGAUCACUUGAUUAUCCCUCACGGCAAUGCAGUUUUUGUAGUACUACUAUGAAUCACAGUUUCCCUUGUUUGUUAUUUCUUAAUUUGAUUCACUGUUAUAUUCUGUAGAUUUGCUGCUUUUGUAGGUUCGUUUCCUUCACGAUUAUGAUUCCGUGUGUGUGUAAUAUAGAAUGUUCCUGAUGUCAUAUAACACGAGAUCACCUUAUUAUCCACUCAAAGCAAUGCAGUUUUCGUAGUACUACUAUGAAACCAAAGGGGUGAAUAGUUUUAUUUGGAAAUUUUCCUAUGCAGAUUAAAGGAGAAGUAGAAGCCUUAGAACGAACCAAAGGCGAUGAGAUAGAGUUGAGUAUAUUCCUUUCCUCCUUCAUUGGUUAUAUCUGAUGGAUUUACUGGUUUAUCUAUGUUUUAACGUCAUACAGGCAGACAUAGGGGGCAACGUUAUGGUGCAAGCACACACCCGAAUGUCACAUCCUCUGGAGGAGAGAGACGAUGAGAGCAGAGAAUUAGUGAAAUUUAGUGGCUUAUUUAAUUGAGGAUAAGAAUAUAUUGAGUAUCAUUCAAAAUUAGAUAGUCAUAUACUUCUGUAUUUUUGAGAUGGAUAUAUAAUUUUUAAUUGUAUUUACUUGUUACUCGUUAGUUUUGUAGAUUAAGAACUUUAGAUGAAAUGAAAUAAAGUUUUAGUGGAAUUGAUUUUUAUUGUA